rnacentral:rRNA from 1 species
CCUACGGGCGACAGCAGUGAGGAAUAUUGGUCAAUGGACGAGAGUCUGAACCAGCCAAGUAGCGUGAAGGAUGACUGCCCUAUGGGUGGUAAACUUCUUUUAUAUGGGAGUAAAAUGUUCCACGUGUGGGAUUUUGUAUGUACCAUAUGAAUAAGGAUCGGCUAACUCCGUGCCAGCAGCCGCGGUAAUACGGAGGAUCCGAGCGUUAUCCGGAUUUAUUGGGUUUAAAGGGAGCGUAGGUGGAUUGUUAAGUCAGUUGUGAAAGUUUGCGGCGCAACCGUAAAAUUGCAGUUGAAACUGGCAGUCUUGAGUACAGUAGAGGUGGGCGGAAUUCGUGGUGUAGCGGUGAAAUGCUUAGAUAUCACGAAGAACUCCGAUUGCGAAGGCAGCUCACUGGACUGCAACUGACACUGAGGCUCGAAAGUGUGGGUAUCAAACAGGAUUAGAUACCCGGGUAGUC